rnacentral:lncRNA from 1 species
AUGUUAAAACACCUUGAAAUCCAACACAAAGUAGACUUAGCAAUACAAAAUUUAUCUUUUCCAUCAAUUGAUGAAUUUUUUUCUUGGAAACAAAAAGAGGAACAAAGUUCACAUGUCAUGUAUGUUAAAAAUAGGGAAAAUGUCAAUUCCGCACUGGGAAACUUACAUUAUUACGUUUGUAAAUUCGAUGCUCAGCGUCGAGCAGACAGUAGUCCAAAGACUUGUAGGAGAAAGUUUUGUGGGGACACAAUCAAAAAUACAGAUUGCCCCUCAAGAAUGUAUGUGACUGAGAAAUCAGAUAGUGUACUAGUGAAGUAUGUUUCAUGCCACAAUCAUGAAUUAAAAUUCAAAAAUGUAAAACAUUUUAGGUGGCAUUCAGACACCAAAAAUGUUCUUAAUUCCAUGUUCAGUAAAGAAAUUCCAUCACAUAAAAUAAAAGAAGAUUUAGGCCCUAGCUCUAUAGAUUCUGCUCAAAUUAAAGAACAUUUUAUUUCUACUACACAGAUAAGUAAAAUGAAGUACGAAUUUAAUCAGAAAAAGCACCUGCACAAGAAUGAUGCAAUGUCAGUUGAUUUAUUAGUAAAGUCUUUAAUUGGUGAAGAAAAAGAAUCUAUCAUUGUAUACAAACCGCAAAAAAAACCCGUGGAAAUAGGUGGCAACUCUGUUCAGCACCUGCUUAGCGAUGAAGAUACUUUUGCUCUAGUCAUUCAGUCAGACAGACAGCGAACUGAAAUGCUGAGGGGUUGUGAGGAUAUCCUUGUAAUUGAUGCCACACACAGUACCAACAAAUAUGAUUUCCAUCUUGUCAACCUAAUUGUCCCUGAUGAGUUUGGAAUCGGCUAUCCAGUAGGGCACUUUAUAACAAACAAAGUAGACACUCCAACCAUGACCGCUUGCUUUAGAGCUAUUAAAGAUAAGUGUCCUGAUUUAAAUGUUAACGUUUUUAUUACUGAUGAUGACCCAGCCUUGUACAAUUCUGUUACCAAUGUUUUCCCAAAUGCAAUACAUUUAUUGUGCACAUGGCACGUUAAACGUGCAUGGAAAAAAAAUUUGAGGGAAAAAGUUAAAGAUAUAGCUCUGCGAGCGAAAAUUAGACAGUGCCUUCAUGUCUUAAUGGAAGAAAAAAAUCCUGAUAACUUUAAGAAAAUGUUAACCACAUUCCUAAAAGAGUACAAAGAUAAAGCCUUAGAAUUUUGUGAAUACUUUUCAUCAUACUACCAACUUAGGAGUGAAUUGUGGGCAAUGUCUUACCGCAAUUUUCCUCAUGCUAAUACUGAUACAACAAAUUUUUGCGAAUCUUUUCAUAAUAGAUUCAAAUCCAGCUAUUUAAUGAGAAAAUUUAACAGGAGGGUGGAUGAUUUAAUUAGAUUUAUUUUCAGAGUAGAUAAAGAUUUGCAUUUAGGUUUGAUGUACAGAAGAUUAACAGAAGAAAUUCCAGGGGGUAAAAAAAAUCGCCAUGACUGUCGGCACAUGAAGGGAAUGAGAAUUGUAGACGAAGAUGUAAAAGAACUGUCUGCUUCGGAAUUUGAAGUUACAUCUCAAUCUCAAAGAAAUGUUUGUUACACUGUGAAGCUCAUUUCUGCAACUUGCCCUGAGCCUGGCCUUUGUAAUGUUGUUUGCACUAAGUCUCCGUGUAAAUCUUUAUGCCGCCAUAUGUAUGUUUGUUCGUGCAAAGAUAUAAGUGACUUAUGUAAGCAUAUUCAUAAGGUUCAUUCUAUCAAUUUGCCUCCAAAUUUUCAAGAUAGUGAUGGUGAUGAAGAUAAUGAUCUUGAAGACUCCUUUAAUGGUUUACAUUUGUUUGCCCCCUUAGAAAAUAAUAAUGUUCAGUCCAAAGAUGUAGCUUAUGAAAAACUUGUAAAGUCCUGUAACACUCAGAUUAGUGAGUUGCAGCUUCUCUUGUGUGAAGAAAAAACACGCCCUUUACUGUCGCACAUUGAAAAAGAUUUAAAAUUGCUCGUUUCUCAGUGCAAAGGUCUAAUAGCAAGUGACUCUUCACAUACUCCUCUUCCAGAAAUGGAGCAUAACUCUGUACCUCCCAACACCAAGCUUCAGACACAAAGUAUUGAACUGUACCGAACAUCUAAGAAGAAAGGUGACAGCAGGAAAAGUCACAAAUUAUUUGUUUCAGAAUCAGAAAGAGCCUCUGUUAGAACGUCACUUCUAACCCCACCACUGCCUAAUUUUUCAGGGUCAAUUUCCCCUCCUGAAACUGUUACUGAUACAUUGUUUGUCGAGGGCCCUUACACAGUCAAACUGUACCAUAUGAAAUCAUUAGAUUCGAACAUUUCCAACGAAGACAUUGAAAAAAUUGCUUUAAUUGACCCUCGCUUCUCAAGAGGUUGGUUGUACGAUUGUAUCAUCUAUUCAUAUCUAGUCAAAAUUGCAAGUGAUUUCCCAACCACUAAAAUUGUAGAUCCAUGCUUAAGUCAAGUGGUUAAGUAUUUGGAUCGAGAGAACUUUCAAAAUUUAAAUGUACCCCUGUAUGAAAAAUUAAUUAUCCCAUGCAACCCAACAGAAGAUCAUUGGCUCCUGUUAGUCGCAUAUCCUGACAGUAAAGUGAUAGAAUUUUAUGAUCCAGCUUCAAAUACUGCUAAGCACCAUUAUCACCAAUUUAUCGGACAGUGGGCUAAAGUGUUGGCAAAAUAUUCUGGAAGCCCUCUUGCUGACUGGAAAGUAUGCUUACCUAUGCAUGACCUCCAAUCUGAUUCCAUUAGCUGUGGAGUUUAUGUGGCCUGGUAUGCAGAAAAAAUUGUACUAGAUCAACCUGUAUCUACUCCAUUAAAUGUUGAUAAUCAUCGCUUGUCCAUGUAUCAGUCUUUGAAAGAAAAUUAUUCUCAUCGCCAAUAG